GAGAGAGCUCUCUGGGGUCUCUUUUUGUCAGGAUGCUAAUCCCAUCCUGGGGGCCUCACCGUCAUGACCUCCUCUAACCCUAAUCACCUCCCAAAGGCCCCGCCUCCUAAUACUAUCCCACGGAGGGGUUAGGGCAUCAACAUAAGAAUUUGGAGGGGGCCACAGUUCAGUCCACAGCAGGAUGUGUGUGUGUGGAGUGAAGCAGACUGACCGGGCCUCAACAUCACCUGGGAAUCCUGGAAGGAAACAGGUUCCUGGGCCUUGCUCCAACCUAAGGAACCCGAAUCUGCAUAGCUCACAUGGCGCCGUAUUUCCAACGUUCAGAGCACAUUGGAAAGUUGGGAGGAAGGAUGAGGCUUGUGUUUUCACUCACAAACUCCCUCCAGAAGAUGAUAAUGAAAGUGUCUGACGCAUAAGGAAAUAAAUAAGAUGGUUAUGUGCCCA
rnacentral:lncRNA from 10 species